rnacentral:rRNA from 1 species
GACGAACGCUGGCGGCGUGCUUAACACAUGCAAGUCGAACGGUACGGCCCUUCGGGGUACACGAGUGGCGAACGGGGGAGUAACACGUGGGUGAGCUGCCCUGCACUUCGGGAUAAGCCUGGGUCACUGGGUCUAAUACCGGAUAGUACAACUGCCUACAUGGGUGGUGGGGGAACGCUUUUGCGGGGUGGGAUGGGCCCGUGGCCUAUCAGCUUGUUGGUGGGUGGAUGGCCUAACAAGGGGACGUCGGGUAGCCGGCCUGAGAGGGUGUCCGGGCACACGGGGACAGAGAUACGGCCCAGACUCCUACGGGAGGCAGCAGUGUGGAAUAUUGCAAAAUGAGCGCAAGCCUGAUGCAGCGACGCCGCGUGAGAGAUGACGGACUUCGGGUUGUAAACCUCUUUCAGCACCGACGAAGCGCAAGUGACGGUAGGUGCAGAAGAAGGACCGGCCAACUACGUGCCAGCAGCCGCGGUAA